rnacentral:rRNA from 1 species
AGCAGCCGCGGUAAUUCCAGCUCCAAUAGCGUAUAUUAAAGUUGUUGCAGUUAAAAAGCUCGUAGUUGAAUUUCGGGGUCAGUAGGCUGGUCGUGCCACUGGUAUGCACUGGUCUCACUGAUUCCUCCUUCCUGAUGAACCGUAAUGCCAUUAAUUUGGUGUUGCGGGGAAUCUGGACUGUUACUUUGAAAAAAUUAGAGUGUUUAAAGCAGGCUAACGCUUGAAUACACUAGCAUGGAAUAAUGAAAUAGGACGUUCGAUCUUAUUUUGUUGGUUUCUAAGAUUGACGUAAUGAUUAAUAGGGAUAGUUGGGGGCAUUAGUAUUCAAUUGUCAGAGGUGAAAUUCUUGGAUUUAUUGAAGACUAACUACUGCGAAAGCAUUUGCCAAGGAUGUUUUCAUUAAUCAAGAACGAAAGUUAGGGGAUCGAAGACGAUCAGAUACCGUCGUAGUCUUAACCAUAAACUAU